AUAAGCAUAUCAAUAAGCGGAGGAAAAGAAACCAACAGGGAUUGCCCUAGUAACGGCGAGUGAAGCGGCAACAGCUCAAAUUUGAAAUCUGGCUUCGGCCCGAGUUGUAAUUUGCAGAGGAUGUUUAUGGUGCGGUACCUUCCGAGUUCCCUGGAACGGGACGCCACAGAGGGUGAGAGCCCCGUCUGGUUGGAUACCAAGCCUGUGUUAAACUCCUUCAACGAGUCGAGUAGUUUGGGAAUGCUGCUCUAAAUGGGAGGUAAAUCUCUUCUAAAGCUAAAUACCGGCCAGAGACCGAUAGCGCACAAGUAGAGUGAUCGAAAGAUGAAAAGCACCUUGAAAAGGGGGUUAAACAGUACGUGAAAUUGUUGAAAGGGAAGCGUUUAUGACCAGACUUGUGUCGUGUGGCUCAUCCGAGGUUCUCCCCGGUGCACUCCACACGGCUCAGGCCAACAUCGGUUCUCGUUGGGGGAUAAGAACAGUAGGAACGUGGCCCCUUUCGGGGGGUGUUAUAGCCUAUUGUACGAUACUCUGACGGGGACCGAGGACCGCGCUUCGGCUAGGAUGUUGGCGUAAUGGUCAUUAGCGACCCGUCUUGAAACACGGACCAAGGAGUCGUCCAUUAGAGCGAGCGUUUGGGUGUAAAACCCGCACGCGUAAUGAAAGUGAAAUUAGGUGAGAGCUUCGGCGCAUCAUCGACCGAUCCUGAAGUUUACGGAUGGAUUUGAGUAAGAGUUUUAACGGACGGACCCGAAAGACAGUGAACUAUGCUUGAAUAGGGUGAAGCCAGAGGAAACUCUGGUGGAGGCUCGCAGCGGUUCUGACGUGCAAAUCGAUCGUCAAAUUUGAGCAUGGGGGCGAAAGACUAAUCGAACUGUCUAGUAGCUGGUUAC
rnacentral:rRNA from 1 species